rnacentral:lncRNA from 1 species
ACACUGAUCUUUUAUCAAAGAUAUAGGAAGAACUAAUAUGUAUUUUUCUCUUCUAGAAUUUAAAAGAAAGGUUUCGGAUCCUUCAAAAAAUGCCAAGAUUGUUUCUUUUAUAGUGGAGCCUUAGGGCACCAUUUUUCCGUUGUUUUUUUCUUUUAGUCCAUGAGUUAGUUUUUCAUCUUUUCUUAAAUGAUCCCUCAUUUCCUGACUUGUGCCUCAAGCUUGAGGCAGAAUUUGUUUUUUAGCCCUUUACUAGAAUGUUCUAGGGGCUAUUAUCAUAUUCUUUUAAGGCUAAAAUCCAUCUUAUACCCCUAUUUCUUUUCUAAAUAACCAACCUGAAGUUUUAACCUCAGUCUAAUGUCUGGUUUGGUUACAAUUGACUGAGGUCAAUUAUGUUCAAAUUUUGGGUCAAAUAUAGUCUUGGACUAAUAGGCUUAUUAAAGUUCAACAUUGGCCAAAACUAAUCAGGCUUUAAAACAAGUGCCUUAAUGUGAUUUUUCAAUAACCAAACAUUAUACAGGAUAAUCAUUCAAUAUCAAAAGCAAUAAAUCAAAAUGCCCAGAAGAGGGGAAUCAUCCCUAAACACUUAACUUGCAGAAACAAAUCAAUUAAAGUUCUUGGAAAUGAGAAGCAUACAGCAGGAAGUGAACACUUAGUUCAUAAAUCAAAUUAGAAAAGUAAAGCAAACAUUAGCAAUUAAAGGUCCAACCAAACAAAUCAACCUAAACUAAUACCAGUACUGAAAAUCAAAAUUACUAUGAAAAUCAAACACUUAAUAACAUGAACAACUAGCCAAACUAAUCAGAAUAUCAGGGAACAAAACAAAUGAAGAUCAUGAGAUGGAGGUCAACAAAACAUAGGAAUCACACAACUGAAGAAUCGACAAACUAGGCUUUCAAAAUCAAGGAGCUAAUAUUAACAUGAUAUCAAAUCAUUCAAGAGAAGAAGGGAUUUCAAACUAAUAACAACCAAAGGCAUAUAACUAUUAAACCUAUUUCAUAUGAGAUUGUGGAAAAACAAACAAGGAAUCAAAGCAUCUAACAAUUAAC